rnacentral:rRNA from 1 species
CGAUAGCGUAUAUUAAAAUUGUUGCAGUUAAAAAGCUCGUAGUUGGAUUUCUGGGUACUUGGAAUCUUGAUCCUGAUGGUGAUGGAUACCAAGCACUCAUCCUUCUGUUAACCUCUCUCGGACUUUAUUGUUCGGAGUUGGAGCUCAGAUACUUUACCUUGAGGAAAUUAGAGUGUUCCAGGCAGGCUUGCGCCGGAAUACAUUAGCAUGGAAUAAUAGAAUAGGACUUCAUCCUUUUUGUUGGUUUAGAGGCUGAAGUAAUGAUUAAUAGGGAUAGUUGGGGGCAUUAGUAUUUCAUUGUCAGAGGUGAAAUUCUUUGAUUUGUGAAAGACUAACUUAGGCGAAAGCAUUUGCCAAGAAUGUUUUCAUUAA